GACGAACGCUGGCUGCGUGCUUAACACAUGCAAGUCGAACGCUGAAACCCUGGUGCUUGCACCGGGGUGGAUGAGUGGCGAACGGGUGAGUAACACGUGAGUAACCUGCCCCCGACUUCGGGAUAAGCCCGGGAAACUGGGUCUAAUACCGGAUAUGAGCGCCCCUCGCAUGAGGGAUGCUGGAAAGUCUUUUCGGUUGGGGAUGGGCUCGCGGCCUAUCAGUUUGUUGGUGAGGUAAUGGCUCACCAAGACGACGACGGGUAGCCGGCCUGAGAGGGCGACCGGCCACACUGGGACUGAGACACGGCCCAGACUCCUACGGGAGGCAGCAGUGGGGAAUAUUGCACAAUGGGGGAAACCCUGAUGCAGCGACGCAGCGUGCGGGAUGACGGCCUUCGGGUUGUAAACCGCUUUCAGCAGGGAAGAAGCCCCUUGGGGUGACGGUACCUGCAGAAGAAGUACCGGCUAACUACGUGCCAGCCGCCGCCGUAA
rnacentral:rRNA from 1 species